GAUGAACGCUGGCGGCGUGCCUAAUACAUGCAAGUCGAGCGAACGGACGAGAAGCUUGCUUCUCUGAUGUUAGCGGCGGACGGGUGAGUAACACGUGGAUAACCUACCUAUAAGACUGGGAUAACUUCGGGAAACCGGAGCUAAUACCGGAUAAUAUUUUGAACCGCAUGGUUCAAAAGUGAAAGACGGUCUUGCUGUCACUUAUAGAUGGAUCCGCGCUGCAUUAGCUAGUUGGUAAGGUAACGGCUUACCAAGGCAACGAUGCAUAGCCGACCUGAGAGGGUGAUCGGCCACACUGGAACUGAGACACGGUCCAGACUCCUACGGGAGGCAGCAGUAGGGAAUCUUCCGCAAUGGGCGAAAGCCUGACGGAGCAACGCCGCGUGAGUGAUGAAGGUCUUCGGAUCGUAAAACUCUGUUAUUAGGGAAGAACAUAUGUGUAAGUAACUGUGCACAUCUUGACGGUACCUAAUCAGAAAGCCACGGCUAACUACGUGCCAGCAGCCGCGGUAAUACGUANGUGGNCAGCGUUUAUCGGAAAUAUUGGGCGUAAAGCGCGCGUAGGCGGUUUUUUAGUCUGAUGUGAAAGCCCACGGCUCAACCGUGGAGGGUCAUUGGAAACUGGAAAACUUGAGUGCAGAAGAGGAAAGUGGAAUUCCAUGUGUAGCGGUGAAAUGCGCAGAGAUAUGGAGGAACACCAGUGGCGAAGGCGACUUUCUGGUCUGUAACUGACGCUGAUGUGCGAAAGCGUGGGGAUCAAACAGGAUUAGAUACCCUGGUAGUCCACGCCGUAAACGAUGAGUGCUAAGUGUUAGGGGGUUUCCGCCCCUUAGUGCUGCAGCUAACGCAUUAAGCACUCCGCCUGGGGAGUACGACCGCAAGGUUGAAACUCAAAGGAAUUGACGGGGACCCGCACAAGCGGUGGAGCAUGUGGUUUAAUUCGAAGCAACGCGAAGAACCUUACCAAAUCUUGACAUCCUUUGACAACUCUAGAGAUAGAGCUUUCCCCUUCGGGGGACAAAGUGACAGGUGGUGCAUGGUUGUCGUCAGCUCGUGUCGUGAGAUGUUGGGUUAAGUCCCGCAACGAGCGCAACCCUUAAGCUUAGUUGCCAUCAUUAAGUUGGGCACUCUAAGUUGACUGCCGGUGACAAACCGGAGGAAGGUGGGGAUGACGUCAAAUCAUCAUGCCCCUUAUGAUUUGGGCUACACACGUGCUACAAUGGACAAUACAAAGGGCAGCGAAACCGUGAGGUCAAGCAAAUCCCAUAAAGUUGUUCUCAGUUCGGAUUGUAGUCUGCAACUCGACUACAUGAAGCUGGAAUCGCUAGUAAUCGUAGAUCAGCAUGCUACGGUGAAUACGUUCCCGGGUCU
rnacentral:rRNA from 1 species